rnacentral:rRNA from 1 species
GUGGGGAAUAUUGGACAAUGGGCCACAAGCCUGAUCCAGCAAUUCUGUGUGCACGAUGAAGGUCUUCGGAUUGUAAAGUGCUUUCAGUUGGGAAGAAGAAAGUGACGGUACCAACAGAAGAAGCGACGGCUAAAUACGUGCCAGCAGCCGCGGUAAUACGUAUGUCGCAAGCGUUAUCCGGAUUUAUUGGGCGUAAAGCGCGUCUAGGCGGAAAAAUAAGUCUGAUGUUAAAAUGCGGGGCUCAACUCCGUAUUGCGUUGGAAACUGUUUUUCUAGAGUACUGGAGAGGUGGGCGGAACUACAAGUGUAGAGGUGAAAUUCGUAGAUAUUUGUAGGAAUGCCGAUGGAGAAGUCAGCUCACUGGACAGAUACUGACGCUAAAGCGCGAAAGCGUGGGGAGCAAACAGGAUUAGAAACCCCUGUAGUCC